GAUGAACGCUGGCGGCGUGCUUAACACAUGCAAGUCGAGCGGAGCGGCGAACGGGUGAGUAAAGCGUGAGUAAUUGCCCCCCUCUCUGGGAUAACAGUUGGAAACGGCUGCUAAUAACGGAUAGCGGGGGAUGACUCGCGUCCUAUCGGCUUGUUGGUGGGGUAGUAGCCUACCAAGGCGACGACGGGUAGCCGGCCUGAGAGGGCGACCGGCCACAAUGGGCUGAUGUACGGCCCAAACUCGUACGGGAGGCAGCAGUGGGGAAUAUUGCACAAUGAGGGAAACCCUAAUGCAGCAACGCCGCGUGCGGGAUGACCGCCUUCGGGUUGUAAACCGCUUUCAGCCAUGACGCGGUAGUGGCAGAAGAAGCACCGGCUAACUACGUGCCAGCAGCCGCGGUAAUUC
rnacentral:rRNA from 1 species